UGUCCAAUACGGGAAUCGAACCCGGGUCGUUUUGGUCGAAAACCAAACGGUUUAACCAGCCUUCCACCGACCACCUGAAUGAAC
rnacentral:tRNA from 1 species